GAUGAACGCUGGCUACAGGCUUAACACAUGCAAGUCGAGGGGAAACGACGGGGAAGCUUGCUUCCCCGGGCGUCGACCGGCGCACGGGUGAGUAACGCGUAUCCAACCUGCCUCUGACUGAGGGAUAACCCGUCGAAAGUCGGCCUAAUACCUCAUGGUAUCGUCUGCGGGCAUCCAACGACGAUUAAAGAUUUCAUCGGUCAGGGAUGGGGAUGCGUCUGAUUAGCUUGUUGGCGGGGUAACGGCCCACCAAGGCUACGAUCAGUAGGGGUUCUGAGAGGAAGGUCCCCCACAUUGGAACUGAGACACAGUCCAAACUCCUACGGGAGGCAGCAGUGAGGAAUAUUGGUCAAUGGGCGAGAGCCUGAACCAGCCAAGUAGCGUGCAGGAAGACGGCCCUAUGGGUUGUAAACUGCUUUUAUGCGGGGAUAAAGUGAGGGACGUGUCCCUCAUUGCAGGUACCGCAUGAAUAAGGACCGGCUAAUUCCGUG
rnacentral:rRNA from 1 species